GAUGAGCCACCUCACCAACCUCCCAUUUUGAAAAAAAAAAUCUGUAAUGAUUUUCAUGAAGACCUUGCAGCUUGGUUAUGGAGCCACAGUUAGACCUUACGUUGGUGAUUGAGAUAUAUUUGUGCCACCUCAUGGAAGAAGCCUGAACUGCAGCUUGAACACAGAUGGCAGUAAAAAGGCCUUCUCUCCUAGCGCUCGCCCCCUAAAAGACAGAAAGACCACCAAUCCAGCCCUCAACACACCGGAAGCAACGACAGAAACCACCCCCUUUCCGGGACAUCAUCCAUGGUCGUCUGCAGUUUAGUCCUGCUCUUACCGCUCCCCAGGUGGUCCCUACUCUUUUUGGAUCCCCAAUCCCCCCGUCACUGGUAGCUGCCUUCCUCCGCUUUUUCCACCCCGUGGCUUUUAGCCGGGAAAACGUGCUGUGAUUUCCCUGCUGACCCUCUCCCCUUAAGCCGACUGGCGCUGCCCGGCAGUCUCCGGCAACAGUGCCGGAGGCAGUAGCCACACCACCUCCGUCCCAGAGGUCUCAGCGAAGGUCGCAGCCAACGAGAAUCUCGCAGCAUCUUUCCGGGGCCACACCGGACACAGUAACAUACCACAGAUUCCCCAGCCGGCUUGACUCCGGUUUGACCCAGGGAGUUGUUAGCAGGCCAACUCAUUCUUGAAGCUGGGCAUCUUUUAUGCUAAAACUCAUUAAAUGCCUGACCUUCCCGUUAGUCAUUUGUUCGAGCAUGAUUCACAAGGUUAUCAAUCAUUCUGAAGUGGGGCCUCAUUUUAUUGUGUGAAUAGUUUAUGGUGGCUCAAUAAAGCUGCUGCACCAAUCCCGA